rnacentral:rRNA from 1 species
GCUAGUAAUGGCAGGUCAGCAUACUGCCGUGAAUACGUUCCCGGGCCUUGUACACACCGCCCGUCACACCAUGAGAGUUGGGAAUACCCGAAGCCUGUGAGCUAACUAUACGAGGCAGCAGUCGAAGGUAGAAUCAAUGAUUGGGGUGAAGUCGUAACAAGGUACC